GCUCCCUUUGGCAGCACACAUACUAAGAUUGGAAUGAUACAUAGGAGAUUAGCAGGGUGCCUGCAUAAGGCUCACAUGCAAAUUCAUGAAGCAUUCCAUAUUUUU